rnacentral:rRNA from 1 species
GUCGGGGUGGGCCAUCCAAGGAUAGUUCGCAAGCUUUUAUGCUCAUUGUAGAUUCAUGGCCCAAAAUUGGUAUAUUUGGCGGAGACAAGAGAAAAGGAGGAUAGAGUGAAGAAUUUGAAGUGGAUGCUUGGGUUGAGUACGUGUUUUGUGGUGAAUGGUGAUGGAAAGGGAGGAGGGGUUGCAUUGUUUUGGGACGAGGCUUUAUGUAACGCCCUGGUUUUUGGUCCUUUCUCUUUUUGCUAUUUCUUAUAUUGA